GUAUGUUUUCUUUUGUAUUGGCUUGUUUUGCUCAACAUAAUAUCUGUGAGAUUCCUCCAUAUUGUUGUACCUCACUCAGAUUCUCA